rnacentral:rRNA from 1 species
CUGGUGCCAGCAGCCGCGGUAAUUCCAGCUCCAAUAGCGUAUAUUAAAGUUGUUGCAGUUAAAAAGCUCGUAGUUGAAUUUCGGGAUUAGUACGUCGGUCGUGCCUUAGGUACGUACUGGUGUUACUGGUUCCUACCUUCUGACGAACCAUCAUGUCAUUAAUUUGGUGUGGUGGGGAAUCAGGACUGUUACUUUGAAAAAAUUAGAGUGUUUAAAGCAGGCUCGCGCUUGAAUACAUUAGCAUGGAAUAAUGAAAUAGGACGUUGAUCCUAUUUUGUUGGUUUCUAGGAUUGACGUAAUGAUUAAUAGGGAUAGUUGGGGGCAUUAGUAUUCAAUUGUCAGAGGUGAAAUUCUUGGAUUUAUUGAAGACUAACUACUGCGAAAGCAUUUGCCAAGGAUGUUUUCAUUAAUCAAGAACGAAAGUUAGGGGAUCGAAGACGAUCAGAUACCGUCGUAGUCUUAACCAUAAACUAUGCCGACUAGGGAUCGGA